rnacentral:lncRNA from 1 species
CUAAAGGAACCACUUGUAUAUACGAUACUUGCCACAUCAUCAUCUUCUUUGUUCUCCAUUCUUCGAGAAUAGUCAUGGUCAAAUCUAGCAGUUUCUACUCCACGUCAAAAUGACAACAUGGGGGAUUGGAAUUCCACCAAAUUCUCCGGCCACGACCCGGUCAACCACGGCGCAGUGUGAAAUCGAUGCACGGGGGGAGGCG